ensembl:snRNA U6 U6 spliceosomal RNA
GUGCUUGCUUUGGCAGCACAUAUACUAAAAGUGGAAUGAUACAGAGAAGAUUAGCAUGGCCCCUGUGCAAGGAUGACACAUAAAUUCAUGAAGUGUUCCAUAUUUUU